CUUCUUUUGUAAGGGAAUAAAGAGUCUUACGAGCUAAGACGUUGCAGGUACCUUACGAAUAAGGAUCGGCUAACUCCGUGCCAGCAGCCGCGGUAAUACGGAGGAUCCGAGCGUUAUCCGGAUUUAUUGGGUUUAAAGGGUGCGCAGGCGGCAUGUUAAGUCGGCGGUGAAAUUUUGCAGCUCAACUGUAAAAGAGCCUUCGAAACUGGCAAGCUUGAGUGUGGAUGAAGUAGGCGGAAUUUGUGGUGUAGCGGUGAAAUGCAUAGAUAUCACAAAGAACACCGAUUGCGCAGGCAGCUUACUAAACCAUAACUGACGCUCAUGCACGAAGGCGUGGGGAUCAAACAGGAUUAGAUACCCUGGUAGUCCACGCAGUAAACGAUGAUUACUGGCUGUUUGCGAUACAAUGUAAGCGGCUGAGCGAAAGCGUUAAGUAAUCCACCUGGGGAGUACGUUCGCAAGAAUGAAACUCAAAGGAAUUGACGGGGGCCCGCACAAGCGGAGGAACAUGUGGUUUAAUUCGAUGAUACGCGAGGAACCUUACCCGGGCUUGAAAUGCAUCUGACGUAUUUGGAAACAGAUAUUCCCUACGGGGCAGAUGUGUAGGUGCUGCAUGGUUGUCGUCAGCUCGUGCCGUGAGGUGUCGGCUUAAGUGCCAUAACGAGCGCAACCCUCAUCGUCAGUUACCAUCAGGUAAAGCUGGGGACUCUGGCGAGACUGCCAUC
rnacentral:rRNA from 1 species